UACAGAGGUCUCAAGCGUUGUUCGGAUUCAUUGGGCGUAAAGGGUGCGUAGGCGGCGCGGUAAGUCGGGUGUGAAAUCUCGGGGCUUAACUCCGAAACUGCAUUCGAUACUGCCGUGCUUGAGGACUGGAGAGGAGACUGGAAUUUACGGUGUAGCGGUGAAAUGCGUAGAGAUCGUAAGGAAGACCAGUGGCGAAGGCGAGUUUCUGGACAGAUACUGACGCUGAGGCACGAAGGUCAGGGGAGCAAACGGG
rnacentral:rRNA from 1 species